rnacentral:rRNA from 1 species
ACGGGUGAGUAACACGUGGGCAACCUGCCCUUGAGACUGGGAUAACUUCGGGAAACCGGAGCUAAUACCGGAUAAUAUGAGGAACCUCCUGGUUCUUUAUUGAAAGAUGGUUUCGGCUAUCACUUAAGGAUGGGCCCGCGGCGCAUUAGCUAGUUGGUGAGGUAACGGCUCACCAAGGCGACGAUGCGUAGCCGACCUGAGAGGGUGAUCGGCCACACUGGGACUGAGACACGGCCCAGACUCCUACGGGAGGCAGCAGUAGGGAAUCUUCCACAAUGGACGAAAGUCUGAUGGAGCAACGCCGCGUGAGUGAUGAAGGCCUUCGGGUCGUAAAGCUCUGUUGUUAGGGAAGAACAAGUGCGAGAGUAACUGCUCGCACCUUGACGGUACCUAACCAGAAAGCCACGGCUAACUACGUGCCAGCAGCCGCGGUAAUACGUAGGUGGCAAGCGUUAUCCGGAAUUAUUGGGCGUAAGGCGCGCGCAGGUGGUUUCUUAAGUCUGAUGUGAAAGCCCACGGCUCAACCGUGGAGGGUCAUUGGAAACUGGGGAACUUGAGUGCAGAAGAGGAAAGUG